rnacentral:tRNA from 1 species
UUGUGAUGUCUAAGUAAAAUAUCCUUAGGCCGCAAUCCUGUCACCUUAGGUCGAUCGGUACCUCAGAUUUAUGAAUUAAUUUUAUAAUUAAUCCUUUAAUUUCAGUUCCUAAACUUGUCUAGGUCACACCCAACAAGGGUUUCUCCUGGGCCAUUAGCUCAGGUGGUUAGAGCGCACCCCUGAUAAGGGUGAGGUCCCUGGUUCAAGUCCAGGAUGGCCCAUAUCUCUAUGUUGGGGGUAUAGCUCAGUUGGUAGAGCGCCUGCUUUGCAAGCAGGAUGUCAGCGGUUCGAGUCCGCUUACCUCCACUGAUUACCACCUCUUCCAUACCGGUAUAAAGGAAAUGUUUUGAGUUGUGAUCAUUAUUCUGAACGAAUCUAGCUUCCUAAUGAAAUCAUUAAGAUGCUGGAUUCAUUGAAUUAAUUUCAUUGUUUUCAGAGAACCUUGACAACUGCAUAGAUUAUUUUAAAGACAAUAAGCAUCUUAAAGAUGCAGAUUUAUUAUUUAUGCGAAUGCAUUAAUAACAAUUCUAUUAAGCUGAUGCUUCAAUAUUGAAGUUAUU